rnacentral:rRNA from 1 species
GUGUCAGCCGCCGCGGUAAUACGAAGGACCCGAGCGUUAUCCGGAUUUAUUGGGUUUAAAGGGUGCGUAGGCGGAUUUACAAGUCAGUGGUGAAAUCUCCCAGCUUAACUGGGAAACUGCCAUUGAAACUGUUUAUCUUGAGUACAUUUGAGGCGGGCGGAAUGUGUCAUGUAGAGGUGAAAUUCUUAGAUAUGACACAGAACACCAAUUGCGAAGGCAGCUCGCUAAACUGUAACUGACGCUGAGGCACGAAAGCGUGGGGAUCAAACAGGAUUAGAUACCCUGGUAGUCC